GGCUCAGAACGAACGCUGGCGGCGCGUUUAAGCAUGCAAGUCGAGCGGCAAGGGCCUUCGGGCCCCUAGAGCGGCGGACGGGUGAGUAACACGUGGACAAUCUGCCCCCCGGCCCGGGAUAGCCCAGGGAAACCUGGAUUAAUACCGGAUGAGACGGGACCCGCGAUGGCGGGAUCCGGGAAAGGCGCUGCGGCGCCGCCGGGGGAUGAGUCUGCGUCCCAUUAGCUAGACGGCGGGGUAACGGCCCACCGUGGCGACGAUGGGUAGCCGGCCUGAGAGGGUGGACGGCCACAUUGGAACUGAGACACGGUCCAGACUCCUACGGAGGCAGCAGCUAAGAAUCUUCCGCAAUGGGCGAAAGCCUGACGGAAGCGACGCCGCGUGAACGAAGAAGGCCGUGAGGUUGUAAAGUUCUUUUCGGGAGGGGAACAACCGUGGCAGGGAAUGGCCGCGGGAUGACGUGAAUCCCGGAAUAAGCCCCGGCUAACUACGUGCCAGCCGCCGC
rnacentral:rRNA from 1 species